rnacentral:rRNA from 1 species
GUGGGGAAUUUUGGACAAUGGGCGAAAGCCUGAUCCAGCCAUGCCGCGUGCAGGAUGAAGGCCUUCGGGUUGUAAACUGCUUUUGUACGGAACGAAACGGUCCGGGUUAAUACCCUGGGCUAAUGACGGUACCGUAAGAAUAAGCACCGGCUAACUACGUGCCAGCAGCCGCGGUAAUACGUAGGGUGCAAGCGUUAAUCGGAAUUACUGGGCGUAAAGCGUGCGCAGGCGGUUUUGUAAGACAGGCGUGAAAUCCCCGGGCUCAACCUGGGAAUUGCGCUUGUGACUGCAAGGCUGGAGUGCGGCAGAGGGGGAUGGAAUUCCGCGUGUAGCAGUGAAAUGCGUAGAUAUGCGGAGGAACACCGAUGGCGAAGGCAAUCCCCUGGGCCUGCACUGACGCUCAUGCACGAAAGCGUGGGGAGCAAACAGGAUUAGAUACCCUGGUAGUCC